rnacentral:rRNA from 1 species
CCCUUAGAUGUUCUGGGCUGCACGCGUGCUACAAUGGCGCUUGCAACAAGAUUGCCAACCCGAAAGGGUGAGCGGAUCUUUGAAGUGGCGUCGUGAUCGGGACAGUUGAUUGCAAUUAUUCGAUUCGAACGAGGAAUUCCUUGUAAUCGCGAUUCAUCAUAUCGCGCUGAAUACGUCCCUGCCCUUUGUACACACCGCCCGUCGCUCCUACCGAUUGAGCGAUCCGGUGAAUGUUUUGGACUGGUGUCCGCAAGCGUUUCGCUUCGGACGCUACGAAAUUUUGUAAACCUUAUCGCUUAGAGGAAGGAAAAGUCGUAACA